rnacentral:rRNA from 1 species
AGCGAACGCUGGCGGCAGGCCUAACACAUGCAAGUCGAGCGAACUCUUCGGAGUUAGUGGCGGACGGGUGAGUAACACGUGGGAACGUGCCUUUUGGUUCGGAAUAACUCAGGGAAACUUGUGCUAAUACCGAAUGUGCCCUUCGGGGGAAAGAUUUAUCGCCAUUAGAGCGGCCCGCGUCUGAUUAGCUAGUUGGUGAGGUAACGGCUCACCAAGGCGACGAUCAGUAGCUGGUCUGAGAGGAUGACCAGCCACACUGGGACUGAGACACGGCCCAGACUCCUACGGGAGGCAGCAGUGGGGAAUCUUGCGCAAUGGGCGAAAGCCUGACGCAGCCAUGCCGCGUGAAUGAUGAAGGUCCUAGGAUUGUAAAAUUCUUUCACCGGGGACGAUAAUGACGGUACCCGGAGAAGAAGCCCCGGCUAACUUCGUG